GACGAACGCUGGCGGCGUGCUUAACACAUGCAAGUCGAACGGAAAGGCCCUGCUAUUGUGGGGUGCUCGAGUGGCGAACGGGUGAGUAACACGUGAGUAACCUGCCCUUGACUUUGGGAUAACUUCAGGAAACUGGGGCUAAUACCGUAUAGGAGAUCCUGUUGCAUGGUGGGGGGUGGAAAGUUUCGGCGGGUGGGGAUGGACUGGCGGCUUAACGGCUUGUUGGUGGGGUAGUGGCUUACCAAGGCUGUGACGGAUAGCCGGCCUGAGAGGGUGAACGGGCUCCAUGGUCCUGCGGUACGGAGCAGAGUCGUACGGGGGGCAGCAGUGGGAAACAUUGCACAGUGGGCGGACGCCGGUGGAGGAGACGCCGCGUGCGGGAUGCCGGCCUGCGGGUUGUAAACCGCUGUCGCCUGUGACGAAGCGGGAGUGACGGUAAUGGAUAAAGAAGCACCGGCUAACUACGUG
rnacentral:rRNA from 1 species